rnacentral:rRNA from 1 species
CCCUACGGGGGGCAGCAGUGAGGAAUAUUGGUCAAUGGCCGGAAGGCUGAACCAGCCAAGCCGCGUGAAGGACGAAGGUGCCAAGCAUUGUAAACCUCUUUUGUCAGGGAACAAAGGCGGGGACUAGUCCCCGGAUGAGGGUACCUGAAGAAAAAGCAUCGGCUAACUCCGUGCCAGCAGCCGCGGUAAUACGGAGGAUGCGAGCGUUAUCCGGAUUUAUUGGGUUUAAAGGGUGCGCAGGCGGCCUGUUAAGUCAGCGGUAAAAACCCGGGGCUCAACCCCGGCGAGCCGUUGAAAC